AGCAUUCUUACUUUAAGAACUGAUAUAUCCACUUCUUAAAUUUUUAUAAGCCAUAGAAAUGUAGUUGUCCGCUUCUGCUUAAAGAACUGAAAAGACUUUGAAACAGCCUAGUGAUAUUCUACUAUUUCUGGUGGAAGAAAGCAGGCAAGCCUACAGACUUUGCUGCAGGUGCCCAGGCUUUAACAUGAGCUGACUCACCUUUCUUUCAGUGCCUGCUGUGACUCAGACCUGUGAAAAGAGAAAGUCAAAGAAAACUUGUUCAAUUUUUUUUUUUGUCAAAGUAGGUUUUGUUGUUGUUUUUGUUGUCGUCUAAGAAAAUGCAGCUAUGUCAAAUUUUCAGCAAGUCUGUGAUGGAUUUCAUGUUCUUCUUCAUAAGGCAUUUGUGCAUACAGGAUGUGUGCUGCACAGCAUGUAAAACACAGCAGUACCCAACUAGAUGGAAAAAUGUUGGCUAUGAGAAGCAGCUUUCCUGUCCAGCUUCAAGCUCUGUGCUGUCAUCUGUCAUGGGAACAAAGCCUUGGAUGUGGGAGUAAGCCUGAGCGUCUGUGCAGCAGGCAGAGGGCAUUGCAGGGUUUCCAGAACCUGCAGCUCUGAAAUAACCUUGCUAAAGAAGCCAUUAAAAGCAGGAGCCAGUAACACUCCCAAAGCUUCCACAGACCAUUUUUGGAGCCAGCAGGAAUCUUUGGGUCGCUGGAAAUCUUGGCUGUGCUGGGGGCUUUGACCCCUGGUAAUUUCAAGUUGAGUUUCAUUUUGGAAAGUGAGCUUCAGGUGAUUCUGAAGGUAAAUCCUUUUGGAAAUGUUCCUUUCCACGUAUACAUUUUAAGCUGACACUGAGUAUUUUCCUCAAAGCGAAUAAAGUGAUUUUCCAAAGAUUGGUGAAAUGCUGCCAAAAACAUUUUUGAUGCUAAUUACUGUAUACAAAUGAGAAUACCUGCUGAAAGCUAAGACCAGGGACUAUCUAUCCAGUACUUUUUGAAAGGUUUUUCUUCAUUUCCAAUGCUCUGUGUCUCAAAACCACCACUGGGAAGGGCUGUUGAUGCUGCUCUGGAGGCAGUAACGUCCAUGCGUUGUGCAGGAAACUAAGCGCCAUGAGGAGCUGAGCCAGCCUGCUGGAGAAAGGACCCUGAACACACAGAAUGGUAUGAGGAAGAUUUGAGGUCUUUUGUGCCUUUAUUUGUUCAUUUCCUUUUCAAGCCUCAAUCUUCUCAGCAACUGCAACAAAAAAAAACCCUUUUAUGCUCAGAUGUUGACUUUCUGCCCUGGAAAAACCCUUCUUGACUUCUGCUUGCCACCCCAGCCUUGCCCCUCUCCUACUGGAGGAGGCUUGAUGGAAAACCUAGCAGGUGACAAGUGUACCCACAACCAGCGCCAAUCUGCAGAGUGCUUCUGCCAAUAUGCCAUGCCACUGAGAUCCAUUUGGAGGCAAUGCUUCUUGGGUGAGCCUUGUGCUGUCCUUUCAUUUAUGCUCCUUACUGUGUGUUUGCACAGCCACUGCUCCCAAAUAACUGUGAAAAUUAAGUUUCCAACUCAAAUGAAUGGCUGACUAUACGUGGUCAUAUCAUCACAUCCUCCACAUUUUUUCAACAUCUGCAAAGAUUUGACUAUUACAUCCUUUAUACCUGAGGCACUGCAUCAGGAUGGAUCCUCCUUCGAGUUGCCAGAGCUACAGGGACUGCUUGUGAGUAGAUUGAAAGCCAUCUCUGGAUCAGAACACGACAGCUUUUAAGAAUGCACAACAGUAGCACAGAAUAAUUUGGUAGAGGAGGUUGGAAGAAAUGCUGCAUCCAGCUGACAUGGAGGGAACAGUCACAGAAAAUGGAAAACAGAGAGAAACUUACUUGAUGUACAGCCAAAACAAACAAACAAAACAACAGAAAGAGAUUUUGAACUUUUUUUGAGUCAGAACAAAUCAAGCCAGAUUUGUUAUCUGCUUCAUAAGUCGUAUUAUAUGGGUGUCUGAAGGGCAGAUUAUGAACCACAGCAGUAGAAGUUUGCAGAAUCUUCUGGAGAACAUCAUAUCCAACUUCCCCACUCAAAGAACAGUCAAUGAGAGCAAGUGGUUCAUCGCCUUUUCCUGCUUGUUUUUGAUGGUCUCCACAACAUUUCUGGGCAACCAGUGAAUAUUGGACAACUGUCACAGCUGGAAAAUGAUUUUUUCUUACACUGAAAGGGAUUUUUCUGUAUUUUGUAUUUUGGUUAGUGGCUGUUGCUCUUGCUGCUUUGCAUAAUGCCAAUGAGGAGUCUGGUUCUGAUCAAAGUCAGUAAGGAGACCAGUACCCGAAAUGCUCCAUGGUUUGAAGGAAGAAGACUGAGGUAAACUGGAAAACAUACCACAGGACAAUGCGCUUGUGAGAUUUGCCUUUCUCCCCUGCUGUCUGGAUGAACAUCCAUUCCACUCUCUCUUGCAAAGCCUCAUGAGACCAGUCAAUGUCUGCUAUGCAUUAUUUUGAGUCAAAGCCUGUGGGAAGAGGUGAUGAUUUCUAUUAACAUAGCAGAUAUUGCUGAGGGGAAAAAAAAAAAACCAAAAAACUUUUUAGACACAAACUUUUUACAGGACUGUUCCUGUAAAAGUAACUGAAAGAUUUUGCCUUAUUACAUGUUGCAGCUGCUUAAUUCAUGUCUAACUCAUUCACUGUAAAAAAUCUAAAGUUUCUUCUUUUCAAGUAUAAAACGAGCACAUUUGUUUCUUGUAAGGAAGUAAAAAAGAUGUGUUCAAAUUAGAAUAAAAGCACCAACAGAUAGUUAAUGAAAAGAUAAUAUGCCAGUUCAUACAAUAUGUAAGUUCAGUAAGAGCUGAUUCCACUUCAGUCUCACACGCAAUCUGAGUUUUCCAGUGUAGAGUCAGUCCUUGUGAACAUAUAACCUUUUUUGCCUCUGGAGGCUGGAACUCACUAGAUGCUAGAUGGAUGGUAGAACUGCUUCUGUCUGACUGUUAUGAAAUGUAAGAUAGAAGACAAUACAGAACACUGACAUAUUUUUCUUUUCAUUUGACAUUGCCCAUAUGCCCCUGUUUGUUCCAGCUACAUGAAAUUAUUUCUUAGAAGUCUGGGUUAUGCUGGCUCAGUCCUGUAGUCUUCUUCAUUUACUGUCAAUAAAUGGUAUUGAU